rnacentral:rRNA from 1 species
AACGAACGCUGGCGGCAUGCCUAACACAUGCAAGUCGAACGAGACCUUCGGGUCUAGUGGCGCACGGGUGCGUAACGCGUGGGAACCUGCCCUUAGGUUCGGAAUAACUCCCCGAAAGGGGUGCUAAUACCGGAUAAUGUCUUCGGACCAAAGAUUUAUCGCCUUUGGAUGGGCCCGCGUUGGAUUAGCUAGUUGGUAGGGUAAAAGCCUACCAAGGCGACGAUCCAUAGCUGGUCUGAGAGGAUGAUCAGCCACACUGGGACUGAGACACGGCCCAGACUCCUACGGGGAGCAGCAGUGGGGAAUAUUGGACGAGGGGCGAAAGCCUGAUCCAGCAAUGCCGGGUGAGUGAUGAAGGCCUUAGGGUUGUAAAGCUCUUUUACCCGGGAUGAUAAUGACAGUACCGGGAGAAUAAGCUCCGGCUAACUCCGUG